AUACGGAGGAUCCGAGCGUUAUCCGGAUUUAUUGGGUUUAAAGGGUGCGCAGGCGGCCAUUUAAGUCAGCGGUUAAAUCGUGGGGCUCAACCCCAUUCUGCCGUUGAUACUGGGUGGCUUGAUUGCGGUCGAGGUUGGCGGAAUUCGUUGUGUAGCGGUGAAAUGCAUAGAUAUGACGAAGAACACCGAUUGCGUAGGCAGCUGACCAGACCGCAAAUGACGCUCAUGCACGAAAGUGCGGGGAUCGAACAGGAUUAGAUACCCUGGUAGUCCGCACAGUAAACGAUGAAUACUUGUUUUCGGCGAUAUAAUGUCGGAGGCAAAGCGAAAGCGACAAGUAUUCCACCUGGGGAGUACGCCGGCAACGGUGAAACUCAAAGGAAUUGACGGGG
rnacentral:rRNA from 1 species